UACGGAGGGUGCAAGCGUUGUUCGGAAUCACUGGGCGUAAAGGGCGUGUAGGCGGUCCGCUAAGUCUGAUGUGAAAGCCCGGGGCUCACCCCCGGAAGGGCAUUGGAAACUGGCGGACUCGAGUCCCGGAGAGGAAGGUGGAAUUCCUGGUGAAGCGGUGAAAUGCGUAGAUAUCUGGAGGAACACCGGUGGCGAAGGCGGCAUCCUGGACCAAUAUUGACGCUGAGGAGCGAAAGCCAGGGGAGCAAACGGG
rnacentral:rRNA from 1 species